GGUGUUGCAUGGCUGUCGUCAGCUCGUGUCGUGAGAUGUUGGGUUAAGUCCCGCAACGAGCGCAACCCUCAUCCUUAGUUACCAUCAGGUAAUGCUGGGGACUUUAAGGAAACUGCCAGUGAUAAACUGGAGGAAGGUGGGGAUGAUGUCAAGUCAUCAUGGCCCUUAUGGAGUGGGCUACACACGUGCUACAAUGGUGGCUACAACGGGCUGCAAAGUCGCGAGGCUAAGCUAAUCCCUUAAAAGCCAUCUCAGUUCGGAUUGUACUCUGCAACUCGAGUGCAUGAAGUUGGAAUCGCUAGUAAUCGUGGAUCAGCACGCCACGGUGAAUACGUUCCCGGGUCUUGUACACAC
rnacentral:rRNA from 1 species